UUAUGGCCACCGCCCCACACCUCGCCCCACCACCAGACGCUCGAUGCCCAUGUGGCGCUGCUGUCGCACGCAGCGGCAAAGGGUUCCACGGCGGAGACAUGGAAGGAUGACGGGGGUGGGGCCAUUACCAUAGAUGAGCGCAGCCCCGAGCAGAUCCGAUUAGGAUCCUUCUCUCCAUCUCACUCUUUGUGCCUUCUCCCCUCUCUGCUCUCCCGUCUCUCUCAAUCUGCAGCAAGGCGUCGCGGGCUCGCGGCUGUGACGCCGGCGGCGUAAGGGCCUGCGGCGGCGGUAGAAACCACCACACCCUCUGCAUCCAAUUUCUCUUUCUAACGUCUCUGUGCAUCAGCAGGUUUUAGUAGACGAUCCAGAUUGAGAAGGUCACAUGAGUUUGCCAGCAGCACCCAUCUGUGUAUGCUCAAUUACCUAUCAGUAAAUAUAUACAUAUCAUUUGGUGGAAUAUGUAAGUAGACCUUCUGUGUAUGCUCGAUUACCUCUUGUAUUGAAUUUUCCGAAAUUUUGGAUCGAUCAACAUGUGAUCAGUGGUCAGAUGUAAAACUUAGCCUUACUAUCAGGUUGCAUGUAAGAGGUACAAUUACUUGAUUAUCAAUGCGUACUUUUCAGAAGCUUCACUAACAAGUGCAAAUAUGUAGUCUGGAACCAUCCCUGAAAAAUUAUUGGUAGCCCAGGUUUAGAAGCAUUUAAAUAUCUUUUCCAAUUGUUGUAAACUCACCAAAGCUCGGGAGCGGAACUCCCUUACCUGGAAGCAUCCUUGCCGAUGAAAGAACACUAUGUUGAAAUAUUUACCUACUAACUAUCAUAUUAAGAAAAAACGCCAUUGAUUAGUUCUUAGAUUCUGGAAGGGCCUAUUUGGAUUAUUUAAGAACAAUGCUUCAUACUAAGAAAUUAGGCCGUUCAUAAGUUAUUAUUUCCUGAAAGGAUUUAUUUGAUCGAUAUAAGAUAAAAAAAAUUGCAAGCACCCAAUACUUGUUUUUCCUAAAUCAUUGUACAGACUGCUAAUUCCAGAUUUGAAUAUCCUCCCAGCUGAGGAGCAAUCGUAUCACAAUGAUGCACAUGCAGAACAAGCCCGGUUGUCCAAGGUUCAAAUACUGUGUACUUAAUGAGUUGUAUUUUGUGAAUCCUUAUUACUGUGUUUCAUGAAUCUAGACAAUGAUAAUACUAAUCCAGACUUUGUCGGUAUGGAUGAUGUUGUAGCCGCAAUUGAGCCUCCACCUCCUAUGUUUUUUGAAGGGCUUGGGAAUGACACUAAUAAAGUGGAUGGGCAAGCUCAAACCAACGAGGUUACGAUGUGAUUAAUUUCUUAGAAGUUCAUAUAUGUUCUGCUUCGUGUCAUCUUUAGUGCUUCAAGGGCAAACGGCUAGAUUCAAUUUGGAGCGUCGCGGGAAGGAGCAGGCAGCAGCGCCAAUACACUGAGGGUGGAGCAGCAGAGUCACCUGAUCUACCAGUAUGUCUGAUUGAUGCUGCCCACUGCUCCAUCAGCUUGCAUCCAGCAUCUCUAAAUUAGCAUUAUGUCAGUCCCACCUUUGCAGGUUCUCGAUAUAUUUGCAAUGGAUUAAACAAUGGGCCUCUCUUGAUUCACACAUGUUCACAUUUCAAGCUAUUUGAUGGUAAAUCUUGAAUUUUAUUUUCUUAUAUUUUUUAGCGGAUUAACUAGAACUGAUUUGGUUUCUGAUUUGUUUGGGCGAGUGCAACAGCUUGCGAAGCUUUACCACUAAUCCACAGUCACUAUGUAACAAUUAAAAGGUGACUGAUAGCUCCAAUAGAUGCAUAUUUAAUAUUUAUUUCUGCACAUCAUUUAGACAGGUGGUUCCAUUUGAUACAUUUAGGAAGAGUACGGUCUUUUCCGACUUUAGUUAAUAUCUAUAUUGUUUCUUUGAUAUAAUAGGCAGGUCUGGAAACACAUGCUAAUAUAAGGCUUGAAUUGCACAUGUAUUGUCUUAUUAAUCAUGCACAUUUUGGAGCAUGAUUAUUUUCAAAUGGUUUGUCUAACAAUACUGAGGAGACCUGCAUGUCUGUCAACAUUCUUAAUAUGGAACCAUUAGAUGAUGGAUGACCAUUUUUUGCAAUAUCCGACUGACUAAUUGUACAAUUGAUAAGACAAGGGUUCGACUUACUUCCCUCUGCAAACAUCUUCUUUGCUCAAGUAAUUCAAGGUAUGUUUCAUUGCUCAUUUAGGAUGGCUGCUGAACCUCUUUGUGAACCAAGGAAGAAGUUCUCUAUACAAAAAUAACUUAGUUCUACAUUGAAAUUUUCACAUAUGGAUAAUUCAGUAACAAAAAAAUUUGAUUAAUCGAGUUGGGAGAUGUCACACAACACCAUUUGCUCAUAAUUGUUAUCUAUUUGAUCCUCGUGGCAGUCCUAUAUGUCAUGAAUAAUUGAGUCAUAUGUUGAUGCAUAUAUAGUUUGACUGUGCACUUGCACGUGUGCAACGUUCCAAAAGGAUAAUUCAUAACCUAGCAAUCUUAGAUAUCUAUGAACUUCAGUAUGUGCCAUCACGGUCUCAACAGGAUAUGGUACUCUGUUUUGAUUUUUUAUCAAAACCUAAUUAUCAAUUUAUAUAUGUGUGUACAAUGUUUAACCAUUGUAGCUGAUGAUCUUUAACGUGUUUCAUCAUCUGUAGGCUGUGCAAUGUGAGAUAAUCAUGUAUGGUGUUACCGAAUGGGCUGGAAAGUUUCUAAAUUAUGAGCUCUGCAUGAUUAAGCGGCGUCGGGACCUGUACUUCAUUUAUUGCAGAGCAAGAAAGGAACAUCAAAGAAGCUGUUAAAAUGGAUGGGAGAAUUUGCUAAAACAUGUUUACCUAUUUUUUUAAAGAUUAAGUGUAUUCUAGAAAGAAAAUAACUGUAUGUUUCAUCGAGUAACAAAUCAGGAACUGUGCAGGUGUGUGUUCAUCUUGAUGGGAGUUUGUCCGAGAUGCUGGGCGAGGGGAUUGUUUCCGCACUGCAUGUAUCCAAGUGUUUAGGGAUGCCUUUUGCGAACAAUUUUAGUUUUUUUUGAGCGAGCAAAUUGAUACUUUUUUUGUGAAUGUAUCCGAGUGGGUGAAAUACUCCCCAUUUGUCUUGAGUGGGUGAAAUACUCCCCAUUUGUCUCGAGAGGUCCUGGUGUGGAAGCUUAGCACUGGGUUUGUCAUUAUUGAGGCAAUAAUAGUUUGAAUAUGCACACUUUCAUUAUGUACUUGCAGUGCGUAAUGCAUCAUGUGUAGAAAAAGAUAGUUAUAUUUGUAUAGAGUAAAUUACAAGGUUUGAGGUAUUUGAAUAAAAAAUACUUUGUUGUUUCA